GGUCACCUGUUCAGCCAAUGGCGUUCAGGGGGCUUUACCUACCAGGUGGUGACCUCGGGCAAACUCGGGGCAUCGCCAAGCUAACGGAAGACAGAAA
rfam:Aliiroseovarius crassostreae strain CV919-312 Joined_contig_5, whole genome shotgun sequence.